rnacentral:misc_RNA from 1 species
AAGUCGUAACAAGGUCUCCGUUGGUGAACCAGCGGAGGGAUCAUUACAGAGUUGCAAAACUCCCAACCCUUUGUGAACGAACCUACCAGUUGCCUCGGCGGCGAGCCCUUCAGGGGGCGGACCGCCGGAGGAAUACAAACUCUUUGCAUUAAUGUAUCUCUGAUUACUUAUUCAAUAAGUUAAAACUUUCAACAACGGAUCUCUUGGUUCUG